UUUCAUCAUUGCUUUGGCUGUUACUGGUCUAAAGCAACCAGGGAGCAUUAUUCUCUGAUAACAUUUUAUUUUGUGAUUAUUUAUUUAUGUUUUCUUUUUUUCUCAGGCAAAAUGAGAGUCUUUGAAUGCAAACAGUGCAAAGCAGAACAAUGGAUCAGUUCUUGAAUGAAAUGUAUGUGCCACAAUCUUUGAAAUCUUCAGCUGAGAUUGAGAAGGUGGAAGCUGCAAUGCAACCAGAGUCCCGUUUCCACGUUUUGAAGUAAAGAGGCAAUCUUACAUCAUGGAUGAAUUUAUUCCUUUACAGAUGAUGAUCUCCCUACUCUGAGCUGCUCUUCCAGUCUGUCACAUGAAAGAGCUGGGACUAAAACUGCUGAGCUGCUGGUACUUCAACAAAUAGAUUGCACUGGUUCUGAAAAUCUGGAAGAACAGAAAGGGUGGUAGUGGGUUUUCUACUCGGUGUACUGCCAACUUUCUGCGAGACUGAUGCCACCUGCACCUAAUGACAGUGAGGGUACAUCUAGCUACAAGCAGCUCUCUGUAUAAUGCGCUGAUCAGCAUUUUUCCUGUAUGACAGACCAAGCUCUCUUGUUGGUAAGUGUAUAUAAUUAUUGCCUACCGACCUCUAUCACCAUUUUCUGCAGGGUUUAUAUACUUCGUUUCCUCUGUUGGUUCAUAUUUUAAUUGAUUCUGGAAUUUAAUGCUGAUGGCCAAAUUCAUGAGGGAAAACAGAAGUGAGAACUAGAACCUCUGGACAAGGAAUUUUCACUGAUAAUUCUGUAGCCAGCCUGCUUGUUUGCGUGUGGAAGUAGGUUAUGUGUUUGUGAGAUCAUUUUGAUGAUAUUUUGGGAACCCAUCUAAGAAAGUUAAAAA
ensembl:lncRNA